rnacentral:misc_RNA from 1 species
AUAAAAAGGUAAUUUUACUUCCUAAAUAUUUAUCCUCCUUUUUCUUUUCAUCCGCGAUUCAGUUCAAAAAAAAAUUCACUAUCUUUCUCAUUCACUCCACUCUUUCACAACACAAAUGUAUCCGAACUAAAAUCCCUGGAUCUUAUCCCAAUUUCGAUAGAUACAAUACCUCUACAAAUAAACAUAUAAACAUAUAUGGGCAAAUAAUCUCUAUUAUUGAAUCAUUCACAGUCCAUAUCAUUAUCCUUACGCUUACUAGUUAAAUUUUUUACUACUUUUUAGUCCCUUUAAUUGACAUAGACACAAACACUACACCAGGAUGAUGCAUGGGAAAUGGUCGGG